rnacentral:rRNA from 1 species
AUUGAACGCUGGCGGCAUGCCUUACACAUGCAAGUCGAACGGCAGCAUGGGUGCUUGCACCUGAUGGCGAGUGGCGAACGGGUGAGUAAUGCAUCGGAACGUGCCCUGAAGUGGGGGAUAACGUAGCGAAAGUUACGCUAAUACCGCAUAUUCUGUGAGCAGGAAAGCAGGGGAUCGCAAGACCUUGUGCUUUAGGAGCGGCCGAUGUCGGAUUAGCUAGUUGGUGAGGUAAAGGCUCACCAAGGCGACGAUCCGUAGCGGGUCUGAGAGGAUGAGCCGCCACACUGGGACUGAGACACGGCCCAGACUCCUACGGGAGGCAGCAGUGGGGAAUUUUGGACAAUGGGCGCAAGCCUGAUUCAGCCAUGCCGCGUGAGUGAAGAAGGCCUUCGGGUUGUAAAGCUCUUUCGGUGGGGAAGAAAUGGUUUCGGUUAAUACCCGGAAUUGAUGACGGUACCCGCAUAAGAAGCACCGGCUAACUACGUGCCAGCAGCCGCCGUAA